rnacentral:rRNA from 1 species
UGCAAGUCGAACGCUUCUUUUCCCACCGGAGCUUGCUCCACCGGGAAAAGAGGAGUGGCGAACGGGUGAGUAACACGUGGGUAACCUGCCCAUCAGAAGGGGAUAACACUUGGAAACAGGUGCUAAUACCGUAUAACAAUCGAAACCGCAUGGUUUCGUUUUGAAAGGCGCUUUACGGUGCCGCUGAUGGAUGGACCCGCGGUGCAUUAGCUAGUUGGUGAGGUAACGGCUCACCAAGGCCACGAUGCAUAGCCGACCUGAGAGGGUGAUCGGCCACAUUGGGACUGAGACACGGCCCAAACUCCUACGGGAGGCAGCAGUAGGGAAUCUUCGGCAAUGGACGAAAGUCUGACCGAGCAACGCCGCGUGAGUGAAGAAGGUUUUCGGAUCGUAAAACUCUGUUGUUAGAGAAGAACAAGGGUGAGAGUAACUGUUCACCCCUUGACGGUAUCUAACCAGAAAGCCACGGCUAACUACGUGCCAGCAGCCGCGGUAAUACGUAGGUGGCAAGCGUUGUCCGGAUUUAUUGGGCGUAAAGCGAGCGCAGGCGGUUUCUUAAGUCUGAUGUGAAAGCCCCCGGCUCAACCGGGGAGGGUCAUUGGAAACUGGGAGACUUGAGUGCAGAAGAGGAGAGUGGAAUUCCAUGUGUAGCGGUGAAAUGCGUAGAUAUAUGGAGGAACACCAGUGGCGAAGGCGGCUCUCUGGUCUGUAACUGACGCUGAGGCUCGAAAGCGUGGGGAGCAAACAGGAUUAGAUACCCUGGUAGUCCACGCCGUAAACGAUGAGUGCUAAGUGUUGGAGGGUUUCCGCCCUUCAGUGCUGCAGCUAACGCAUUAAGCACUCCGCCUGGGGAGUACGACCGCAAGGUUGAAACUCAAAGGAAUUGACGGGGGCCCGCACAAGCGGUGGAGCAUGUGGUUUAAUUCGAAGCAACGCGAAGAACCUUACCAGGUCUUGACAUCCUUUGACCACUCUAGAGAUAGAGCUUCCCCUUCGGGGGCAAAGUGACAGGUGGUGCAUGGUUGUCGUCAGCUCGUGUCGUGAGAUGUUGGGUUAAGUCCCGCAACGAGCGCAACCCUUAUUGUUAGUUGCCAUCAUUUAGUUGGGCACUCUAGCAAGACUGCCGGUGACAAACCGGAGGAAGGUGGGGAUGACGUCAAAUCAUCAUGCCCCUUAUGACCUGGGCUACACACGUGCUACAAUGGGAAGUACAACGAGUCGCGAAGUCGCGAGGCUAAGCUAAUCUCUUAAAGCUUCUCUCAGUUCGGAUUGUAGGCUGCAACUCGCCUACAUGAAGCCGGAAUCGCUAGUAAUCGCGGAUCAGCACGCCGCGGUGAAUACGUUCCCGGGCCUUGUACACACCGCCCGUCACACCACGAGAGUUUGUAACACCCGAAGUCGGUGAGGUAACCUUUUG